AUAGCUGGUUCUCCGCGAAAUCUAUUUAGGUAGAGCGUCGGAUGAAUACUCUCGGGGGUAGAGCACUGGAUGGGCUAGGGGUCCUCACCGGAUUACCAAACCUAACCAAACUCCGAAUACCGAGGAGUACUAGUCGGCAGACACACGGCGGGUGCUAACGUCCGUCGUGAAGAGGGAAACAACCCUGACCUCCAGCUAAGGUCCCCAAGUCAUGGCUAAGUGGGAAAGGAUGUGAGACUCCCAAAACAACCAGGAUGUUGGCUUAGAAGCAGCCAUCAUUUAAAGAAAGCGUAACAGCUCACUGGUCAAGCGCUCCUGCGCGGAAAAUGUAACGGGGCUUAAGUGAUACACCGAAGCUGCGGACUCGAAAGAGUGGUAGCGGAGCGUUCUGUAAGUCUGCGAAGGCAGCCUGUGAGGGCUGCUGGAGAUAUCAGAAGUGAGAAUGCUGACAUGAGUAGCGAUAAAGGGGGUGAGAGGCCCCCUCGCCGAAAGUCCAAGGGUUCCUGCGCAAUGCUAAUCAGCGCAGGGUAAGCCGGCCCCUAAGGCGAGGCCGAAAGGCGUAGUCGA
rnacentral:rRNA from 17 species